GUGCCUGUAGCUUAAUUGGAUAAAGCAGCAGCUUCCGAAGCUGAAGAUUGGGGGUUCGAAUCCCUUCAGGCAUA
rnacentral:tRNA from 1 species